rnacentral:tRNA from 1 species
GUUUUAAUAGUUUAAAAAAAACAUUGGUUUUGUAAUCCUAAAAUAAGAUUUAUCUUUUAAAACU